UGGGGGAUAUUGCGCAAUGGGGGGCAACCCUGACGCAGCAACGCCGCGUGAAGGAAGAAGGUUUUCGGAUCGUAAACUUCUUUAAGUGUGGAAGAAGAUGACGGUACACACAGAAUAAGCCACGGCUAACUACGUGCCAGCAGCCGCGGUAAUACGUAGGUGGCGAGCGUUGUCCGGAUUUACUGGGUGUAAAGGGCGUGUAGGCGGGUGAACAAGUCAGAUGUGAAAUACCGGGGCUCAACUCCGGGGCUGCAUUUGAAACUGUUUAUCUUGAGUGCCGGAGAGGAAAGCGGAAUUCCUAGUGUAGCGGUGAAAUGCGUAGAUAUUAGGAGGAACACCAGUGGCGAAGGCGGCUUUCUGGACGGUAACUGACGCUGAGGCGCGAAAGCAUGGGGAGCAAACAGGAUUAGAUACCCUGGUAGU
rnacentral:rRNA from 1 species